rnacentral:rRNA from 1 species
UACGGGAGGCAGCAGUGGGGAAUAUUGCACAAUGGGCGCAAGCCUGAUGCAGCCAUGCCGCGUGUAUGAAGAAGGCCUUCGGGUUGUAAAGUACUUUCAGUCGUGAGGAAGGUGUUAAGGUUAAUAACCUUAGCAAUUGACGUUAGCGACAGAAGAAGCACCGGCUAACUCCGUGCCAGCAGCCGCGGUAAUACGGAGGGUGCGAGCGUUAAUCGGAAUUACUGGGCGUAAAAGGGCACGCAGGCGGUUAAUUAAGUUGGAUGUGAAAUCCCCGGGCUUAAACCUGGGAAUGGCAUUCAAGACUGGUUAGCUAGAGUCUUGUAGAGGGGGUAGAAUUCCAUGUGUAGCGGUGAAAUGCGUAGAGAUGUGGAGGAAUACCGGUGGCGAAAGGCGGCCCCUGGACAAAAGACUGACGCUCAUGUGCGAAAAGCGUGGGGAGCAAAACAGGAUUAGAUACC